rnacentral:misc_RNA from 1 species
UGGUUCUGGCAUCGAUGAAGAACGCAGCGAAAUGCGAUAAGUAAUGCGAAUUGCAGAAUUCCGUGAGUCAUCGAAUCUUUGAACGCACAUUGCGCCCUUUGGCAUUCCGAAGGGCAUGCCUGUUCGAGCGUCAUUAUCAACCCUCAAGCAUAGCUUGGUGUUGGGCUUGCGGUGGUUAUUUACCAGCCCCAAAGGCAAUGACGGUGUCCCUAAGACCCCUGGUGCAAUGAGCUUUUCACAAGGCACGCACUGCGGUGGGCUUAGGGAUCCGGUCUUACCAUUUAUUUCUUAGGUUGACCUCGGAUCAGGUAGGGAUACCCGCUGA